rnacentral:lncRNA from 1 species
AAUAUUCACAUGAACACUACUUAUAUUACCAACACAAUAUUAUGUACAUUUACACACAAUAAUCCCAUUGUAAAAGACCAAAAUACACGCAGAGAUCGUCAUAUUCACACACAAACAAGAACAAUAUGAAAAUUUCUCGCCGGAAAUAAAUCAUUUUCGGCGACGCCGGAAAUAAAAAAAUAAAAAAAUAGAGAUAUAAUGUUCAUAUUACCAAAUCAAAAAAUCACCCCCCUUUCUCAGGUGUCAAAUACAUAUAUUCAUCAAAGAUUUCAAAAAAUAAAGAUAUAAUGUUCAUAUUACCAAAUCUCCAUACAAUCCACCGAAAAAAAAAACAAAACAAAACAACCGACACAGAUGAACAAUUCUACCUCAACAUCACCGGAUUUGCAAGUUUUGUUCAAAACAUUUGUUCAUCCAAACAUAAAGUGUGAAAAAAAAAUCAAAGCAAUGGCGGACGAAAGUAACGGAAAUUUCUCAAACCUUUUUCAAUCGCCGAAGCGUGGACC